UCUAUGCUAAAGUAUUGAAUUCUUUCAACACGUUACAAGAUCUAAAGUCUCUCCAUGGCCUUCUGAUACUCUACACUCUUUGACGCUUCUUUAUAUGUCGAUGGCUCUACCACUUUCUUCUCUGGCUUGCAGAGUCCUGCAAUGAAUAAAUCCACUAUCAGUGCAAAACAAAGCCUACGAACACUGAUAAGGCCUAUCUUGUAGUCUAUAAGUGAUCAAAUCCUCACUUUUACAGGCGUGCUAGACUAGCACAACCCAGCGGGAACAAAUUAUCCCUACUUUUGGCUUCAGAAGAGAUUGUGGAGAUUUGCUUAAAAACAUGAACUGAGAAAAAUUAGAUAGUAGUUCACGAUACAUGAGCGAUGAAUCUCAAGAACAAACAACAGAAAAAAAAAUACAACACAAACGAGUUGAUACACUGUCAAGGUCCUCGAGGAUACAUGUGAAUUGCAAUAUAAUAGUAACAAAUAUUCACCAGUCGGUCAGCUACGUCCGGGGAGAGCUGAGUUAGAACAUUCAGGGACAAUUUUUUGUGAAGAUAAUAGAUUGGAGAGGAGUGUGGCAUAAGAAAUGGAACUUUACUGUGAGAAUAACCGAGGCUACAAUCAGGAGAAGAGUAAAGCAUACGAGACAUGGGCAGAGAGCUACCACACACUUGCUCUCCCCGCCCUCGUUUCCCACUUUCUCCUCGUCUUCCUUCUCUUUGAUCCACUGCGAGUAGCUCCGUGGCAAAGCAUCACUACCAUUAGACUUGCCCAUUGAAAAUGGGUGUGAUCUGAUGAAUUCAAGCGGUGGCUAACAAAAUAAGAUCUAAAUUUUAGCUGACGAAGCCAGUAGUAGUGUGGUGGCUAGCUAGAGUGGUGGUUGUCUUUUGAGUAAAGAUCUCGCAAUAAAUGGCAAGGCUGUAGGUUUGUCUGUUUAGUGAAAGGAUGGACCCUUUCUCCAGGCCUGAUCAACUAGCUACUUUGCUUUGUAUAGGCCAGGCCAUGUCAGCC
rnacentral:lncRNA from 1 species